rnacentral:lncRNA from 1 species
AUUUAAAAGAGCUAUUGGAAGAUAGAUGGUACAGAGAUGAGCGGAGAGAAAAAAGCAGUCCUUGCUCCUAUUCUACUAUCAUUCAGUAGCAUGGUAAUUAAAAGAGAACCAUAAAUCAACUCCUUUUCGGGCUGAGUGUAGCAUUAUACAGUCCCUGUCGCCUUCUGGCAGCUCUCUGAGCCCCAACCCUGCGUUGAGGUGACAGCAUCAGCAUACCUCACCUUGCUGGUAGCUGAGAUAGAGGUGGCCUUCAAAAAGUGCAGACUUCCUAAACCCUAUGAAGAGGUACUCACAGGCUGUGGCUGUGCUCUUUAUUUUCAGGGGAUGCAUCCUGAUCUUGGGGUCAGCUGAAGCCAGUCGAGCUCCGCAGAUCUGCAUCAGCUGGAGCGCUGGCCCGGGUACGCACGUGGCCCACCACUGACUGCGGCAGGUGCUGUGGCCAGGUGGGCCGCCCGUGGCACGCUGCUCGGCGAGGAAACCCCCAGCUCCUCCCUGGAAGUGAGCUGGGACUCUGAGUUUUCAGCCCAAUCCACCCCCAGGAUGCACCUAACCUGCAUGAUGGUGUUUGGCAGCUCUCCAAAUCGGGUCACUGGUUUAUUCAGCAGAAGCCAAUCCCAAGCCCAUCUGGUUGCUCUUGGGCAUGGAGCAGCCUGACAAGGGUUUAAAAUCAAAAUAUUAGCCUUUAAAAAAGACAAGAAAUUGUAACAAACUUUCUGUGAAUAAUAGUGGGAAUUCUUCAUGUUUUCUAGUUGUUUGUUUGUUUUUGUAAUGCUUGUGGUAUUGAAACGAUAUUCUUGUGCCUUCGUAUACCUUUUCCAAAAUCACUGCUCUUUCACAUUCCCUGCAAACUUAAUCUCUGGGUAAAUCCUUUUGGUCUUUAAACUUUUGAUCUGCACUGAGCAAACAAGAUGAAGUCAUUCCCAAAUCCUAAAAACUGGAAAAAGUCUAUCUCGUGCUGAGCACUCAUGGAGUAAUUCUCCAGCAAGGGGAGUUCCAAAACACAAGUGUUUGUGGGCAAAAUAUGACUCUCGCGAUCUGCCCACGUUGGACGAGGCUAUUAGUGAGUUCAUGACAAGCAACACACUGGAACACAAUUAGAGAAGAGCUCUGUAGUAGGCGAGAACCUCCCAACAUUUUAAAUGUCAGCUCAGAAACUUAUUAAUUGCUUGGAAAGGGCUUCUGGAGCCAAGGUAAACUUUGGGGAAAUGGCAUAAUCUGCCAACGUGCCUUCAGACAAGCAAGGUCCUGGGAGAUCCCUCUCUGCUUGGACAUACGGGUUUAAGCCCUGACUGCUGGGUGGAAUGACUCCUCUUUAACACUGCUGUGAUGGAUGAUUUCUGUCAUGCACUGGAAGUGAAGUAUCUGAUGAGUUACUGAUUGGCUGGCAUGUUUAUAGAGCAAUUUUCCUGGCAGAAAGUGCUGGUUUCAUCAAAACCGAGCUAUUUUGCAGAAACAUGGCUGACCCUCCUUCCAAGGGCAGAUUUUGACUUUUUCUUUAGAAAUAAACUUG